GAAAGGUCUCUGGAUGAGGGUGCUGGGGAAGCACAGCCCACCGUGCAGCGUGGGGACUCGCUGGGGGGCAGGUGCCCUCUGGCUGCGGCUGCCCAACUGUUGCAUCUGCGGGUUUUCCUACGGGCAAAGGCUCAGCUCCCACCCUGUCCCCGGUGCCCAUCCACCUGCAAAUCAAAAGACGAGCUCUCUGCUAUUCCGGGAGUCCUGCUUUGGUUGACGACGUGCUGAAUAGCCAGGGUAUCUGGGGUUUUGAAAUAAAAUUUCUUCUUCUGACUGCAACAGAUUCGCAUCUAAUCAAAACGCUUAAUUAAAAAAAUACUCAGCCUUGGCUGACAUUGGUUUCCUAGGUUGGCCCAUCCACCUGCCCACAUUGGAGUGCCCUGCUGGCAUCUGAGGACAAUCAUUCAAAGCAGAUUCAUCCUAAGGACCAAAUAUCAACACUGAGAGGGAUCAAAAGUUCCACUUCAACAGUAUUGACAUUAAGCACCUGAGCCAAGUCCCACAGGGGACCUGCGUGUUCUGGUCCCAGGUCAGACAGCUGGGCAAUGUGCUCCCCGGCCAGCAGGGGGAGCCCCCGAGUCUCAAGGGGAGCCAGGCCUGCAGCCAGAUCCCAGCCAAGAACACAGGAAAGGAGGGAACUCAGGAAAAACUCACCUGCUGAAAAAGGCAGCUUCGCGGAUCUGCACAGCCAUUUACACUGCACGUUCAACGCCGUUCAGAAAAAAGGUCCAGCAGAAGAGACUUGGGUCCCAUGUACCGAGACCCCAGGAAACCUGGCGGAAGGUCGAAUUCCAGAG